UAUGUUUGGCCAUCAUUGG
rnacentral:misc_RNA from 1 species